rnacentral:rRNA from 1 species
UUGCUGGAACGCGCCCCAGGCGCACCCAGAAACCCUUUGUGAACUUAUACCUUUUGUUGCCUCGGCGCAUGCUGGUCUCUAGUAGGCCCCUCACCCCGGUGAGGAGACGGCACGCCGGCGGCCAAGUUAACUCUGUUUUUACACUGAAACUCUGAGAAAAAACACAAAUGAAUCAAAACUUUCAACAACGGAUCUCUUGGUUCUGGCAUCGAUGAAGAACGCAGCGAAAUGCGAUAAGUAAUGUGAAUUGCAGAAUUCAGUGAAUCAUCGAAUCUUUGAACGCACAUUGCGCCCUCUGGUAUUCCGGAGGGCAUGCCUGUUCGAGCGUCAUUUCAACCCUCAAGCAUUGCUUGGUGUUGGGGCACUGCUUUUAACGAAGCAGGCCCUGAAAUCUAGUGGCGAGCUCGCCAGGACCCCGAGCGUAGUAGUUAAACCCUCGCUUUGGAAGGCCCUGGCGGUGCCCUGCCGUUAAACCCCCAACUUUUGAAAAUUUGACCUCGGAUCAGGUAGGAAUAC